GUGCUCACUUCAGCAGGACAGAUGCUAAAACUGGAAUGACACAGAAAAGGUAAGCAUAGGCCCUGUGCAAGGAUGACACACACACUUGUGAAGCAUUCCAUAAUUUU
ensembl:snRNA U6 U6 spliceosomal RNA